rnacentral:rRNA from 1 species
CCAAUAGCGUAUAUUAAAGUUGUUGCAGUUAAAAAGCUCGUAGUUGAAUUUCGGGAUUAGUACGCUGGUCGUGCCUUCGGUAUGUACUGGUGUUACUGGUUCCUACCUUCUGACGAACCGUCAUGUCAUUAAUUUGGUGUGGCGGGGAAUCAGGACUGUUACUUUGAAAAAAUUAGAGUGUUUAAAGCAGGCCCGCGCUUGAAUACAUUAGCAUGGAAUAAUGAAAGAGUACGUUCGAUCCUAUUUUGUUGGUUUCUAGGAUUGACGUAAUGAUUAAUAGGGAUAGUUGGGGGCAUUAGUAUUCAAUUGUCAGAGGUGAAAUUCUUGGAUUUAUUGAAGACUAACUACUGCGAAAGCAUUUGCCAAGGAUGUUUUCAUUAAUCAAGAACGAAAGUUAGGGGAUCGAAGACGAUCAGAUACUGUCGUAGUCUUAACCAUAAACUAUGCCGACUAGGGAUCGGAUGAUGUUAUUUUUAAUGACUCAUUCGGCGCCUUACG